GUGAACGCUGGCGGUAGGCCUAACACAUGCAAGUCGAACGGCAGCACCGUAAGAGCUUGCUCUUACGGGUGGCGAGUGGCGGACGGGUGAGGAAUACAUCGGAAUCUACUUUUUCGUGGGGGAUAACGUAGGGAAACUUACGCUAAUACCGCAUACGACCUACGGGUGAAAGCAGGGGAUCUUCGGACCUUGCGCGAUUGAAUGAGCCGAUGUCGGAUUAGCUAGUUGGCGGGGUAAAGGCCCACCAAGGCGACGAUCCGUAGCUGGUCUGAGAGGAUGAUCAGCCACACUGGAACUGAGACACGGUCCAGACUCCUACGGGAGGCAGCAGUGGGGAAUAUUGGACAAUGGGCGCAGGCCUGAUCCAGCCAUACCGCGUGGGUGAAGAAGGCCUUCGGGUUGUAAAGCCCUUUUGUUGGGAAAGAAAAGCAGCAGGUUAAUACCCCGCUGUUCUGACGGUACCCAAAGAAUAAGCACCGGCUAACUUCGUG
rnacentral:rRNA from 1 species